GACGAACGCUGGCGGCGUGCCUAAUACAUGCAAGUUGAGCGCUGAAGGUUGGUACUUGUACCUACUGGAUGAGCAGCGAACGGGUGAGUAACGCGUGGGGAAUCUGCCUUUGAGCGGGGGACAACAUUUGGAAACGAAUGCUAAUACCGCAUAAAAACUUUAAACACAAGUUUUAAGUUUGAAAGAUGCAAUUGCAUCACUCAAAGAUGAUCCCGCGUUGUAUUAGCUAGUUGGUGAGGUAAAGGCUCACCAAGGCGAUGAUACAUAGCCGACCUGAGAGGGUGAUCGGCCACAAUGGGACUGAGACACGGCCCAAACUCCUACGGGAAGCAGCAGUAGGGAAUCUUCGGCAAUGGACGAAAGUCUGACCGAGCAACGGCGCGGGAGGGAAGAAGGUUUUCGGAUCGGAAAACUCUGUUGGUAGAGAAGAACGAUGGUGAGAGUGGAAAGCUCAUCAAGUGACGGUAACUACCCAGAAAGGGACGGCUAACUACGUG
rnacentral:rRNA from 1 species